rnacentral:rRNA from 1 species
AUUGAACGCUGGCGGCAUGCCUUACACAUGCAAGUCGAACGGCAGCACGGGAGCAAUCCUGGUGGCGAGUGGCGAACGGGUAAGUAAAGUAUCGGAACGUGCCCAGUCGUGGGGGAUAACGUAGCGAAAGUUACGCUAAUACCGCAUACGAUCUAUGGAUGAAAGCGGGGGAUCGCAAGACCUCGCGCGAUUGGAGCGGCCGAUAUCAGAUUAGGUAGUUGGUGGGGUAAAGGGCCACCAAGCCGACGAUCUGUAGCUGGUCUGAGAGGACGACCAGCCACACUGGGACUGGGACACGGCCCAGACUCCUACGGGAGGCAGCAGUGGGGAAUUUUGGACAAUGGGCGAAAGCCUGAUCCAGCCAUGCCGCGUGCAGGAUGAAGGCCUUCGGGUUGUAAACUGCUUUUGUACGGAACGAAAAGGACUGCCCUAAUACGGUGGUCCCAUGACGGUACCGUAAGAAUAAGCACCGGCUAACUACGUGCCAGCCGCCGCCGUAAAAC